rnacentral:rRNA from 1 species
UACGAAGGGGCUAGCGUUGCUCGGAAUCACUGGGCGUAAAGGGUGCGUAGGCGGGUCUUUAAGUCAGGGGUGAAAUCCUGGAGCUCAACUCCAGAACUGCCUUGAUACUGAAGAUCUUGAGUUCGGGAGAGGUGAGUGGAACUGCGAGUGUAGAGGUGAAAUUCGUAGAUAUUCGCAAGAACACCAGUGGCGAAGGCGGCUCACUGGCCCGAUACUGACGCUGA